rnacentral:tRNA from 1 species
GGCACUGAAAAUGCCAAGAUGAGUCGCACGACUCCAUAAACA